AUGAAGUCGGAAUUGCUAGUAAUCGCAGAUCAGCAUGCUGCGGUGAAUACGUUCCCGGGCCUUGUACACACCGCCCGUCACACCAUGAGAGUCUGUAACACCCAAAGCCGGUGGGAUAACCUUUAUAGGAGUCAGCCGUCUAAGGUAGGACAGAUGAUUAGGGUGAAGUCGUAACAAGGUACC
rnacentral:rRNA from 1 species